GCCAGUAUAGCUCAGCUGGCAGAGCGAAUCCUUCGUAAGGAUUAGGUCGAGGGUUCAAAUCCCUCUACUGGCU
rnacentral:tRNA from 1 species